UUGGUGUGUUCAGCUGUGAAUGUGGGUCAUGUGACUCUCUCCUGGUACAGAGGACACAGUUUAUUGUCCAGCAUCAGUGUGUCUGAUCUCAGCAGCAGUCUCUCUCUACCUCUGGAGAUCGAGUGUCUGGAUGAUUCAUACAGCUGUGCAGUCUCUUAUUCAUUCACUAACCAGACUAAACACCUCAACAUCACUGAUCUCUGUCAGACAUGUUCAGAUGGUCAACCUGUGUCUGUCAAACCACUGAUACUUGCUACUGUAAUUCUGCUGCUGCUGCUAGUGGUCUCAGUAUUAGCUAUGAAGAUGUUCUGUCACAGCAGGAGCUACAAAGAAGCAGCACAAGAAAGCAAGUAUUACCUCUUUUUAUGACAUUAUAGUGCACAAAAUUGCCAACCAAUCCUUUUAACCUUCAUUUUAAAAAUUUCUUUCUUUUUUUUUUGAUUUUGUAAAUGUAUUUUUACUAAACAGCUCAGACUUCUGUGGAAGAUCUAGAUUAUAUUAAUCCAACAUUUACUACAAACAGAGUUCAGGAUACGGGAGCUAAUGGACAGAAUCAGACAGAGUAUUCAGAGGUGGCUUUCAGAUGAUGAUCAUUCAGACCAUGUUAUCAUAGCACUCAGUUUAUUAGCAUGAAUAUGUUGGGACAUAUGUUUCUAUGUAAAAAAGCUUGAAACCUCAAAGGGAAACCACACUCUUUAUUUUAAAAAAAAGCUGUAUUUCAUUAUACAGGUACUUUUUUUAUUUAAAAAAUUGGUCUUUAUUUAAAAGGUCUAGAAGAUUCACAACAGACAAUAUUGUAUUACACUAUUUAAGUGCCUUGCUGCCAAGUUAACUUGAAGCCCCAUUAAUUUCUGAUCCCAAACUUGUCUGCAGCUCUACAGCUUUAUUCCUAACAAUCAUGUCUUGACUUGCAGUGUAUUUGAGCUUUUUCGCUUUUGGUAUUGCUAAGGAUUUUCACUGCCAUCCACAUUAUACUAUACAAGUUCUGAUUAUGAAGCAAUAAUCAUGAUAAACAGGACAAAAAAGAGAUCAAAAGAAGAAAGAAUGCUAAAAAAACGGAGGAAAAAACCUAUAGUAAAAUGUACAUAUGUAUUAAAGAGACACUAUUGAAUACAUGAAUAAUCACUUGAGGCUACAUCUGCUGACUAUUUGUGAGACUUAUAACUAGCAAAAGUCAGCCCCUACUGGGUAGAAAAUCACAACAUCAUCCCUGUGACAAAAAGCAUCUCUAUCUAAUGAUGGCCUUAAGAAACUGUGUAUUCUGAAAAAGUCAUUUUAACAUCCCAUCUGAAAACAACUAUACUAAAGCAAAUAUCUUAAUUUGUCAUUUAUAACUGCCAGUAUCUGUACAACCCGUUUAAGACCAUAAUCUCAGAUUAGAUGGAUUGAUGUAAACUGUAUGAAUAUACACGGCUUUAAACAUUGUAGCAUAAUAAUUGCAAAGCAAGAACAAGUUUCAUUAAAGUAGUAUACAGUACGAAAUGAAAGAUUUAAACCAAGUAUGCACUUGAGUGUCAUAUUGCAGAAUGUCACAUUUGUUCAAAUAAAGUUUUCCUAAAUAAUGCUGACAUAUGUAAAAUAAACAGUGCACUGAUAUUAAUUUAGGUCAUGGCUUUUGUGAAUAUUUUCAGUAAUUUGCAGGGGCGUGGGAAGAUGUUUUAGAUGUUCUUCCCCUUUUUCUUCUCUUAAACAGGUUUGUUCUUUUGUACUUGAUGUUUUUUGUUGUGAUGUAAUUUUAAUAGCUGUAGAAGUGGUUUGUAUUUGCUGAAAA